GGGGAUGUAAUGGUUUCGACACGUGUGGGUGUUUGUAUGUUGCAGUGGUGUGGUUCACCUUAAAAACUACUAGGUUUCAAUAAACGGAAAAUCUAAACAAGUUUCACCAUCAAUGAUGGUACAAAAUCAAACCUUUGCUUACGCAUUUUAAUUAGCGUCAAAGUCAUCAACCAAAACUCCUUUAUUGGAUUGGUGGGUCUAAAGGAUAGUGGAUAAAGUGACGUUUUAUUCAUGAAAACUUGUCAAAGUUAUAAAUUAGCUUUUGUUAAUUUAGAGAUUUAAUAACUUAAUUAAAAUUAACUAAACUGUAGAAGCAUACCUGCAUUUGCAUGUGGACACGGGUUCGACUCCCGUCAUCUCCACCA
rnacentral:tmRNA from 2 species